UACGGGGGGGGCAAGCGUUGUUCGGAAUUACUGGGCGUAAAGGGCGCGUAGGCGGCCUACUAAGUCGGACGUGAAAUCCCUCGGCUCAACCGGGGAACUGCGUCCGAUACUGGUGGGCUUGAAUCCGGGAGAGGGAUGUGGAAUUCCAGGUGUAGCGGUGAGAUGCGUAGAUAUCUGGAGGAACACCGGUGGCGAAGGCGGCAUCCUGGACCGGUAUUGACGCUGAUGCGCGAAAGCCAGGGGAGCAAACGGG
rnacentral:rRNA from 1 species